rnacentral:rRNA from 1 species
CUUUCUCCGCCGGCGACCGGCGCACGGGUGAGUAACACGUAUGCAACCUGCCCCUGUCAGGGGGACAACCGCCGAAAGGCGGGCUAAACCCGCGUACAUGCCACCGGGGCAUCCCGGAGGCAGGAAAGGCUUCGGCCGGACAGGGAUGGGCAUGCGGCGCAUUAGGCAGUAGGCGGGGUAACGGCCCACCUAACCGACGAUGCGUAGGGGUUCUGAGAGGAAGGUCCCCCACACUGGUACUGAGACACGGACCAGACUCCUACGGAAGGCAGCAG